UACUCGAGUGGCGAACGGGUGAGUAAUACGUGGGUGAUCUGCCCUGCACUUCGGGAUAAGCCUGGGAAACUGGGUCUAAUACCGGAUAGGAGCCAUUUUUAGUGUGAUGGUUGGAAAGUUUUUUCGGUGUAGGAUGAGCUCGCGGCCUAUCAGCUUGUUGGUGGGGUAAUGGCCUACCAAGGCGGCGACGGGUAGCCGGCCUGAGAGGGUGGACGGCCACAUUGGGACUGAGAUACGGCUCAG
rnacentral:rRNA from 1 species